CUGAAAAACCAUAUAUACAUAAAAACCAAAAAUUUCUACACAAUACCAUCAACAUUCCCUCUAACCCCAUCUAGAGCUCCGGUACUGCUCUUUCUCAAUGAUUAUUGCAAUGAGUAACUCAGAGAAGUUAAGCGUGAGGAUCUCAUGCGUCUUUGUGGUGGUGAUGAUGCUAGCUGGUUUCGGAAGCUCAGACAUAGACCAAGAUAGGGCAGAGUGUGCAGAUCAGCUAAUAGGGCUUGCUCCAUGUCUUCCUUAUGUUGGGGGUGACAAAGAUGCCAAAACUCCCACAAUAGACUGCUGCACUGGCCUGAAACAGGUGGAUGCAAAGAGCCAUAGAUGCCUCUGUGUUCUGAUUAAGGACCACGACGAUCCUAAGCUCGGCCUCACCAUCAAUGCUACUCUUGCGUUGAAGCUCCCUGGUUCCUGCCAUGUACCUGUUAACAUAACUAGUUGUGUUGAUAUCUUGCAUUUGGAUCCAAAGUCGGCAAACGGUAAGUUGUUCUUGGGAUAUGCACAUGAGACUAAAGCUGUUAACAGUACCGGUGCUUCUAAUUCAUCCAGUGGGAACUCUACAACAGUUGCUCAAGAAACGAGUGAUGGUUGGAGCCUGGGAAUAGGAUUGCUAGGAAUAGAGAUGCUCUUUGUGACCUCGAUGUGUUUUUAUAUUUCUCACCUUCUGUUCUAUGUUUGAUAAAAUGCAACUUUUCUGGUAAGUUUUAUAUUGUUAUUCGUAUGUCAUACAUUUGCACUUAAUUUGUA